UGGGACAAAGGCAUUGGUGAUGUGUUC
rnacentral:piRNA from 1 species